GAGGGUAUAGCUCAGUGGUAGAGUGCAUGCUUAGCAUGCACAAGGCCCUGGGUUCAAUCCCCAGUACCUCCA
rnacentral:tRNA from 1 species